AACGAACGCUGGCGGCAGGCCUAACACAUGCAAGUCGAACGCACCGCAAGGUGAGUGGCGCACAGGUGAGUAACACGUGGGAAUGUACCCUUUGGUUCGGAAUAACGUUUGGAAACGAACGCUAAUACCGGAUGAGCCCUGCGGGGGAAAGAUUUAUCGCCAAAGGAGCAGCCCGCGUCUGAUUAGCUAGUUGGUGGGGUAAAGGCCUACCAAGGCGACGAUCAGUAGCUGGUCUGAGAGGAUGAUCAGCCACACUGGGACUGAGACACGGCCCAGACUCCUACGGGAGGCAGCAGUGGGGAAUAUUGGACAAUGGGCGCAAGCCUGAUCCAGCCAUGCCGCGUGAGUGAUGAAGGCCUUCGGGUUGUAAAGCUCUUUCGCACGCGACGAUGAUGACGGUAGCGUGAGAAGAAGCCCCGGCUAACUUCGUGCCAGCAGCCGCGGUAAU
rnacentral:rRNA from 1 species